rnacentral:rRNA from 1 species
UACAGAGGGUGCGAGCGUUAAUCGGAAUUACUGGGCGUAAAGCGUGCGUAGACGGUUAUUUAAGUCGGAUGUGAAAGCCCCGGGCUCAACCUGGGAAUUGCAUUCGAGACUGAAUAGCUAGGGUACGGUAGAGGGAAGCGGAAUUUCCGGUGUAGCGGUGAAAUGCGUAGAUAUCGGGAGGAACACCUGAGGCGAAGGCGGGUUGCUAGGCUGACACUGACGCUGAGUGCGCGAAAGCCAGGGGAGCAAACGGG